ACAAGAGCCGAACAAGUUGCGAUGAACGCACUUGACACUUGCUUCGGAGAUGUCUUUGUCUCUUUAUCCACAAACGACUCUCUAAACGACAGUGAUCAACUCUCUGAACGACAGCGAGUCGACUUUGAGAGGAAAAUAACUUUUUAGAUUACAUCGAACUCUUGUUGACAUUGAAAUGAAAAAAAUAAAUAAACAAAAUAGAAUGGAACAAAGCCCAAAAGAAAUGGUCACACCAUACAGCAACGGUCGGUCGCGACGGCAACCACCACCACUUUAGCGUUGAUUAACAAACGAUCAACACCGAUUUUUAAUACGCAUUUGUUUAGAUAUUUUUAGUUUGAUAUCGUAUUCCAGUUACAUGUCGAAUGAAAAAAUGAAUCGAUUACACUAAAUUUAUUAUUGUUUUGCAUUCGGAUCAAAUGUCAUUUAUAAAUUUGAAUGAGUGAUUGUACGUGCACUAUAUCGAUAUCAAUAUUGAGUCAAUCGAAGAGUGCAUAUAAACAACUGAACACGACACAACAACAACAACAACAGCAGCAGCAGAAGAAAAUGCAUUCGUCUGCUUAAUAGCUAUUGAACUGUGUUUCCCACAUAGAUCGCACAUCCUCGGAUAAAUUACACGAUUGAUGUAUUAAAACGUGCAAAUUGUGAUCUUGGGCGGGUUCAGUAAGGUCAAGCCAAAAGCUGAUGCCGACAAUAGAGCGAAAAGACUUGUUUCUUUUUACUUCUUCCCUACAUAUCUAACGGCCCAGCAGCUCUCCGGAAGCUUCGUGCUUGAUUUUAUGAGCGAUUUAUAUUUAGAGUCGUUUUCGAAGCGAAAUACACAGACGCUUGGUAGUAGUGUUCGAGCGAGAGAUAAAAAGAGCAUCAAAUAAAAAAAAAAAACCAUUACGCGAUGAGGAAAUAUUAUUAG